rnacentral:rRNA from 1 species
AUACGUAGGGGGCGAGCGUUGUCCGGAAUGAUUGGGCGUAAAGGGCGCGUAGGCGGCCUGUUAAGUCUGGAGUGAAAGUCCUGUUUUCAAGAUGGGAAUUGCUUUGGAUACUGAUGGGCUUGAGUGCAGGAGAGGUUAUCGGAAUUCCCGGUGUAGCGGUGAAAUGCGUAGAGAUCGGGAGGAACACCAGUAGCGAAGGCGGGUAACUGGACUGCAACUGACGCUGAGGCGCGAAAGUGUGGGGAGCAAACAGGAUUAGAUACCCUGGUAGUCCACACUGUAAACGAUGAAUGCUAGGUGUAAGAGGUAUCGACCCCUUUUGUGCCGGAGUUAACACAAUAAGCAUUCCGCCUGGGGAGUACGGCCGCAAGGUUGAAACUCAAAGGAAUUGGCGGGG